rnacentral:rRNA from 1 species
UACGGGGGGGGCAAGCGUUGUUCGGAAUUACUGGGCGUAAAGGGCGCGUAGGCGGUCUUGUAAGGCUUGUGUGAAAUCCCUCGGCUUAACUGAGGAACUGCACGGGAUACUGCAUGACUUGAGAUCGGGAGAGGGAAGCGGAAUUCCGGGUGUAGCGGUGAAAUGCGUAGAUAUCCGGAGGAACACCGGUGGCGAAGGCGGCUUCCUGGACCGACACUGACGCUGAGGCGCGAAAGCGUGGGGAGCAAACAGG